CCUACGGGUGGCAGCAGUGGGGAAUAUUGCACAAUGGGGGAAACCCUGAUGCAGCGACGCCGCGUGAGUGAAGAAGUAUUUCGGUAUGUAAAGCUCUAUCAGCAGGGAAGAAGAAGACCGUAACCUACUAAGAAACCCACGGCUACCAACGUCCAAGCAGCGGGGGUAAUACGUAGGGGGCAAGCGUUUUGGGGAUUAACUGGGUGUAAAGGACGGGUAGGCGGUGAAACAAGUCAUAUGUGAAAUACAUAGGCUCAACCUGUGGAAUGCAUAUAAAACUGUUUUACUAGAGUGCAGGAGAGGCAAGCGGAAUUCCUAGUGUAGCGGUGAAAUGCGUAGAGAUUAGGAAGAACACCAGUGGCGAAGGCGAUUUACUGGACAGCAACUGACGCUGAGGCGUGAGAGCAUGGGGAGCAAACAGGAUUAGAUACCCCAGUAGUC
rnacentral:rRNA from 1 species